rnacentral:rRNA from 1 species
CAAAACGAAUUUGUCUCCUUCCUCGGUGCUUUGCAUCGUGUGAGCGAGCGUAUUCAAUAAGUCAUAACGACUCUCGGCAACGGAUAUCUCGGCUCUCGCAUCGAUGAAGAACGUAGCAAAAUGCGAUACGUAGUGUGAAUUGCAGGAUCCCGUGAACCAUCGAGUUUUUGAACGCAAGUUGCGCCCGAAGCCUUUAGGCCGAGGGCACGCCUGCCUGGGCGUCACGCA